AUGCAGGUAAAGUUACAAUAUAACAAGUGUUUUAUUGUCGUUCCCCCUGCACAAAGCAUUUGAUACAUUACUAUCUCUGUCAAGCUUCAUUCCAUAGUAAGAGACGCUUGGUCUCAAACAU
rnacentral:snoRNA from 1 species